rnacentral:rRNA from 1 species
UACGUAGGUGGCAAGCGUUGUCCGGAAUUAUUUGGGCGUAAAGCGCGCGCAGGCGGUCCUUUAAGUCUGAUGUGAAAGCCCACGGCUCAACCGUGGAGGGUCAUUGGAAACUGGGGGACUUGAGUGCAGAAGAGGAAAGCGGAAUUCCACGUGUAGCGGUGAAAUGCGUAGAGAUGUGGAGGAACACCAGUGGCGAAGGCGGCUUUCUGGUCUGUAACUGACGCUGAGGCGCGAAAGCGUGGGGAGCAAACAGG